rnacentral:rRNA from 1 species
AUUGAACGCUGGCGGCAGGCCUAACACAUGCAAGUCGAACGAGUGGCGGACGGGUGAGUAAUGUCGGGGAAACUGCCUGCUGGAGGGGGAUAACUAAUAGACACGGUAGCUAAUACCGAAUACCAUCAGAUGUGCCCAGAUGGGAUUAGCUAGUUGGUGGGGUAACGGGGCACCAAGGCGACGAUCGCGAGCUUGUCUGAGUGGACGACCGGCCAGGCAGGGACGCGGACACGGUCCAGUAGCCUACGGGAGGCAGCUGUGGGGAAGAUUGCACAUUGGGCGCAAGACUGCUGCAGCCAUGCCGUGUGUAUGAAGAAGGCCUUCGGGUUGUAAAGUACAUUCAGCGGGGAGGCGUUACCCGCAGAAGAAGCACCGGCUAACUCCGUGCAAGGAUCCGCGGUAAUGC